CAAAUAUAUAAUAACAAAAAUCUAAAACUAAAAUCUAAAAUCUAGAAACUAAAAUCUAAAUCCAAAAACUGAAUCGAAAAUCAGCAUCCAUUCAGGGCCAAGAUCUCCAAAUUUUACCAGUUGCAAAAAUGAUGGAUGAGAAAUAUUGUAAAAGUUGAUUCAUUUUUA
rnacentral:sRNA from 1 species